UCUUGGUUGUAAAUGAAGUUGAAUUUACCGGAGUACUACGAAGUUAUAAAAUUUAAAACUCAAAGGGCUUGGCGGUGUUUUAGACCUUUUAGGGGAACCUGUCUCGUAAUCGACAAUCCACGUUAGACCUAACCUUUUUUUGCGGUCAGUUUGUAUACCGUCGUCGUCAGGUAACUUUUGAGAGUGUAGGAGUUAGCAGUGCGAAUAGAGCGUGAGUUAGGACGUCAGAUCAAGGUGCAGUUUAUGAGAAGGUGAGGAUGGGUUACAAUUAUUUAGUUGUAAGGACGGAAGUGGGCAACUGAAAUGGGCUGCUGGAAGGAGGACUUAAAAGUAAAAUGAAUUAUAUAGAUAGUUUGAAUGUGGCUCUGGAACGUGU
rnacentral:rRNA from 1 species